GCAGAGCUCUAAGCUCGCUUCUAUUUUUACCUCCAAGGUUUGUCGAGAUUUGCUCGAUGAAUGCAGGGCAGACGACAAAUGCCUAGCCCUCCUCUGCAGCUGGAGCCAGGAGUGUCGCUGACAGGAAUGUUGAUGAACGCCUAACAGCUGGAGAAGAGCCAGCUCCGUCAGCCCCUAGGAAGAUCACAUGUCAGGAAGAGCCCAUUGUCUGACAGUCAAUGAAAUUUCUAUAAGGUAAGGGCAGAACCUCACCUACGAAUGCAGGCAUCACCACCACCACCAUUAUCAUCAUCAAUCAUCAAUUAUUAUUAGUAUUGUGUAUUGUGUGUGCAUGUGUGGCAUGAUUUUAUGUGUGGACACACAGACACCCGCGCGUGCAUCCACGGUGGAAGUCAGAGGACAAUUUCAUGAAGCCGGAUGUCUUCUUCUGUCUUCCCGUGGGUCAGACUCAGGUCACCGUGCGGUGAAAAGACAUCCUUCCCUCUGGCUGUAAGACUAAUAAGGCAACGGACUCCUCCAGAUUGUGAUCUCAUGUCAGGAAGGAAAGAGUUGAAAUUUGGUCCAGCCAGAGGAGACACUUGUCAGCCAGGAAGAGAUUCCACAUAGUUUGGACAUCUGUCAGGCCCCUUAUGGAUCGGAGGAGAGGAGAGACUAUUUCUCAGCUGGUUCUGCUCAGCUAUGAAUGCCUCUGGCCAGCUCUGCAUUUUAACUUCACCUCAUGUUAGGACCCUGAAGCUGGGUUGGGGCUGGGGAGCACUGAGCCUCUCUGUCCUCUUCCAGGUGUGUCCACACUGAAUAAACCCCUUUCUCUGCUUCUCAGU
rnacentral:lncRNA from 1 species